rnacentral:rRNA from 1 species
AUGGCUAGAUAUUGGUGGAGUAGCUCAAUCGAUCGCAGAUCACUCCAUUGGAUCGAUUGGCCUUCACUUGCUGAACCCAAGGUUGCUGGAGGGAUGGGGUUUCGUAAUCUAGAAUUGUUCAACCUAGCCCUGCUCGGAAAGCAUGGGUGGAAUCUGAUUAUGAACCCGGACUCUCUCUGUGCUCGUGUACUUAAGGGAAAAUACUUCCCGCAAAGUGACUUCAUGGCUGCAACUGUCCCAAAGUGUGCCUCGGCCACAUGGUGAGCUAUAUGUGCGGGCAAGCAAGCAUUGGGAGCCGGCCUUGUGAAACGAAUUGGAGAUGGCACCUUGGUGUCCAUUUGGAAUGAUAGUUGGGUGCCAGGCCUACUCUCCUUACGGCCAACUGCUCACAUCGGUAACACCAACAUUAUUGUUGUGUCUGAGCUGAUCGAUGGAGAUCGAGGUUUAUGGAAGGUGGAAUUAGUGAGGCACUAUUUCAUCGCCCCCGAAGCUGAUGCUAUUCUCAAUAUCCCGUUGAGGGCGGAGGGGGGAGAGGAUUACUGGGCAUGGAAUGCUGAAAAGUCGGGCAUCUACACUGUGAAAUCAGCGUACCGUUCUCUUAUGACCUUGAACGAGCAUUCUGCUCAAAGGGAAGGGACGGUUACGGAAUCCUCAGAGCAGCAAAAACAGUUGUGGACAAGACUUUGGAAGCUAAAAGUUGUGCCAAAGGUGAGAGUGUUUUGGUGGCGAGUGCUAAGGGGAAUUCUCCCCCAUUGA